rnacentral:rRNA from 1 species
UACGGAGGGUGCGAGCGUUGUCCGGAAUCACUGGGCGUAAAGGGCGCGUAGGCGGCGCGGGUAGUCAUCGGUGAAAGUUCAGGGCUCAACUCUGAAUCGGCCGGUGAUACUCCCGUGCUCGAGCACUGUAGAGGCAGGUGGAAUUCCGAGUGUAGAGGUGAAAUUCGUAGAUAUUCGGAAGAACACCAGUGGCGAAGGCGGCUCACUGGACUGGUAUUGACGCUGAGGUGCGAAAGCGUGGGGAGCAAACAGG